ACUGAAUGGAGGACCGAACCGACUUACGUUGAAAAGUGAGCGGAUGAACUGAGGGUAGCGGAGAAAUUCCAAUCGAACCUGGAGAUAGCUGGUUCUCUCCGAAAUAGCUUUAGGGCUAGCCUCAAGUGAUGAUUAUUGGAGGUAGAGCACUGUUUGGACGAGGGGCCCCUCUCGGGUUACCGAAUUCAGACAAACUCCGAAUGCCAAUUAAUUUAACUUGGGAGUCAGAACAUGGGUGAUAAGGUCCGUGUUCGAAAGGGAAACAGCCCAGACCACCAGCUAAGGUCCCAAAAUAUAUGUUAAGUGGAAAAGGAUGUGGCGUUGCCCAGACAACUAGGAUGUUGGCUUAGAAGCAGCCAUCAUUUAAAGAGUGCGUAAUAGCUCACUAGUCGAGUGACACUGCGCCGAAAAUGUACCGGGGCUAAACAUAUUACCGAAGCUGUGGAUUGUCCUUUGGACAAUGGUAGGAGAGCGUUCUAAGGGCGUUGAAGCAUGAUCGUAAGGACAUGUGGAGCGCUUAGAAGUGAGAAUGCCGGUGUGAGUAGCGAAAGACGGGUGAGAAUCCCGUCCACCGAUUGACUAAGGUUUCCAGAGGAAGGCUCGUCCGCUCUGGGUUAGUCGGGUCCUAAGCUGAGGCCGACAGGCGUAGGCGAUGGAUAACAGGUUGAUAUUCCUGUACCACCUAUAAUCGUUUUAAUCGAUGGGGGGACGCAGUAGGAUAGGCGAAGCGUGCGAUUGGAUUGCACGUCUAAGCAGUAAGGCUGAGUAUUAGGCAAAUCCGGUACUCGUUAAGGCUGAGCUGUGAUGGGGAGAAGACAUUGUGUCUUCGAGUCGUUGAUUUCACACUGCCGAGAAAAGCCUCUAGAUAGAAAAUAGGUGCCCGUACCGCAAACCGACACAGGUAGUCAAGAUGAGAAUUCUAAGGUGAGCGAGCGAACUCUCGUUAAGGAACUCGGCAAAAUGACCCCGUAACUUCGGGAGAAGGGGUGCUCUUUAGGGUUAACGCCCAGAAGAGCCGCAGUGAAUAGGCCCAAGCGACUGUUUAUCAAAAACACAGGUCUCUGCUAAACCGUAAGGUGAUGUAUAGGGGCUGACGCCUGCCCGGUGCUGGAAGGUUAAGAGGAGUGGUUAGCUUCUGCGAAGCUACGAAUCGAAGCCCCAGUAAACGGCGGCCGUAACUAUAACGGUCCUAAGGUAGCGAAAUUCCUUGUCGGGUAAGUUCCGACCCGCACGAAAGGCGUAACGAUUUGGGCACUGUCUCAACGAGAGACUCGGUGAAAUCAUAGUACCUGUGAAGAUGCAGGUUACCCGCGACAGGACGGAAAGACCCCGUGGAGCUUUACUGUAGCCUGAUAUUGAAAUUCGGCACAGCUUGUACAGGAUAGGUAGGAGCCUUUGAAACGUGAGCGCUAGCUUACGUGGAGGCGCUGGUGGGAUACUACCCUAGCUGUGUUGGCUUUCUAACCCGCACCACUUAUCGUGGUGGGAGACAGUGUCAGGCGGGCAGUUUGACUGGGGCGGUCGCCUCCUAAAAGGUAACGGAGGCGCUCAAAGGUUCCCUCAGAAUGGUUGGAAAUCAUUCAUAGAGUGUAAAGGCAUAAGGGAGCUUGACUGCGAGACCUACAAGUCGAGCAGGGUCGAAAGACGGACUUAGUGAUCCGGUGGUUCCGCAUGGAAGGGCCAUCGCUCAACGGAUAAAAGCUACCCCGGGGAUAACAGGCUUAUCUCCCCCAAGAGUUCACAUCGACGGGGAGGUUUGGCACCUCGAUGUCGGCUCAUCGCAUCCUGGGGCUGUAGUCGGUCCCAAGGGUUGGGCUGUUCGCCCAUUAAAGCGGUACGCGAGCUGGGUUCAGAACGUCGUGAGACAGUUCGGUCCCUAUCCGUCGUGGGCGUAGGAAAUUUGAGAGGAGCUGUCCUUAGUACGAGAGGACCGGGAUGGACAUACCUCUGGUGUACCAGUUGUCGUGCCAACGGCAUAGCUGGGUAGCUAUGUGUGGACGGGAUAAGUGCUGAAAGCAUCUAAGCAUGAAGCCCCCCUCAAGAUGAGAUUUCCCAACUUCGGUUAUAAGAUCCCUCAAAGAUGAUGAGGUUAAUAGGUUCGAGGUGGAAGCAUGGUGACAUGUGGAGCUGACGAAUACUAA
rnacentral:rRNA from 1 species